rnacentral:rRNA from 1 species
UACGUAGGGUGCAAGCGUUGUCCGGAAUUAUUGGGCGUAAAGAGCUCGUAGGCGGUCUGUUGCGUCGGCUGUGAAAACCCGGGGCUCAACCCCGGGCCUGCAGCCGAUACGGGCAGACUAGAGUUCGGCAGGGGAGACUGGAAUUCCUGGUGUAGCGGUGAAAUGCGCAGAUAUCAGGAGGAACACCGAUGGCGAAGGCAGUUCUCUGGGCCGUAACUGACGCUGAGGAGCGAAAGCGUGGGGAGCGAACAGG